rnacentral:rRNA from 1 species
GGUUCGAUUCUGGUCGAUUGAACGCUGGCGGGAUGCUUUACACAUGCAAGUCGAACGGCGAGCACGGACUUCGGUCUGGUGGCGAGCGGCGAACGGUGAGUAAUGGCAUCGGAACGUGCCUAUAGCGGGGAUAACUACGCGAAAGCGUAGUGCUUAAUACUGCAUAAUAAUUUCUUCGGGGAAAGGGACCCUUCUGGGCCUCGCACUAUUAGAGCGGCCGAUAUCGGAUUAGCUAGUUGGUGGGGCAACGGCUCACCAAGGCGACGAUCCGUAGCUGGUUUGAGAGGAUGACCAGCCACACUGGGACUGAGAUGGGCCUGUGACUUUACGAGGCAGCAGUGGGGAAUUUUGGACAAUGGGGGAAACCUCGAUCCAGCCUAUCCCGGCGUGUGCGAUGAAGGCCUUCGGCUAAAGACUUUUGGCAGGAGGAAAGAAAACGGCACGGGAUAAUACCCCGUGCAACUGACGGUACCUGCAGAAUAAGCACCGGCUAACUACGUGCCAGCAAUGCGGUAAUACGUGUAGGGGGUAAGCGUUAACGGAAUUACUGGGCGUAAAAGCGUGCGCAGGCGGUUCGGAAAGAAAGAUGUGAAAUCCCAGAGCUUAACUUUGGAACUGCAUUUUUAACUACCGAGCUAGAGUGUAUUGAUGGAAGGUGAAUAUGUAGUGGCGAAAUGCGUGUAGAUAUGCGGAGGAACACCGAUGGCGAAGGCAGCCUCCUGGAUAACACUGACGCUCAUGCACGAAGGCGUGGGUAUUAAACAGGAUUAGAUACCCAUAGUCCACGCCCUAAACGAUGUCAGUUUAGCUGUUGGGGCCUUCGGGCCUGGUAGCGCAGCUAACGCGUGAAGUUGACCGCCUGGGGAGUACGGUCGCAAGAUUAAAACUCAAAGGAAUUGACGGGGACCGCACAAGCGGUGGAUGAUGUGGAUUAAUUCGAUGCAACGCGAAAAACCUUACCUACCCUUGACAUGUCUGGAAUCCCGAAGAGAUUUGGGAGUGCUCGCAAGAGAACCGGAAUCACAGGUGCUGUAUGUAUUAAGCCGCCGCUCGUCGUGAGAUGCUGGGUUAAGUCCCGCAACGAGCGCAACCUCUUUGUCAUUAGUUGCUACGAAAGCGCACUUAAUGAGAUCGUCGGUGACAAACCGAGGAAGGUGGGGAUGACGUCAAGUCCUCAUGGCCCUUAUGGCAGGGCUUCACACGUCAUACAACACGGACAGAGGGUCGCCAACCCGCGAGGGGGAGCCAAUCCCAGAAACCCGAUCGUAGUCCGAUCGCCUGCAACUCGAUCGCGGCGUCGAAUCGCUAGUAAUCGCGGAUCAGCAUGUCGCGGUGAAUACGUUCCCGGUCUUGCACACACCGCCCGUCACACCAUGGGAGUGGGUUUUACCAGAAGUAGUUGGAGCUAACCGUAAGGAGGGCGAUUACCACGGUAGGAUCUUAUGACUGGGGUGAAGUCGCGUACGUUGGUAA